UACGGGGGAUGCAAGCGUUAUCCGGAAUCAUUGGGCGUAAAGCGCCUGUAGGUGGUUUACCAAGUUUGUUGUUAAAGGUCAGAGCUUAACUCUGGAAAAGCAAUAGAAACUAGUAAGCUUGAGUAUAGUAGAGGUAGAGGGAAUUUCUAGUGUAGCGGUGAAAUGCGUAGAUAUUAGAAAGAACACCGGUGGCGAAAGCGCUCUACUGGACUAUUACUGACACUCAGAGGCGAAAGCUAGGGGAGCGAAAGGGAUUAGAUACCCCUGUAGUCCUAGCCGUAAACGAUGGAUACUAGGUGUUGUGUUUUAAAUACAGUAUCGUAGCUAACGCGUUAAGUAUCCCGCCUGGGGAGUACGCUCGCAAGGGUG
rnacentral:rRNA from 1 species